rnacentral:rRNA from 1 species
UAAAAUAAGUAAAGAUUUUAAGGGCGUACGGUGGAUGCCUUGGCGAUAUCAGCCGAAGAAGGACGCGGUAAGCUGCGAUAAGCUACGGAGAGAUGCAAGCAAUCUUUGACCCGUAGAUUUCCGAAUGGGGGAACCCGGCAGUGGUUAUGCACUGUCACCCAUAGCUUAGACUAUGAGGAGGGCACCUGGGGAACUGAAACAUCUAAUUACCCAGAGGAAAAGUAAUCAAACGAGAUUUUCUUAGUAGCGGCGAGCGAACGGGAAAGAGGCCAAACCGGAGCGGGCAACCGCACCGGGGUUGAGGACAGUCAUCAAGUGUAAAUGAGGUAGAAGAAUCGAGCUGGAAAGCUCAGCCGAAGAAGGUGAAAGCCCUGUAAUCGAAACCUUGCAUACAUGGGACUGUAUCCAGAGUACCACGAGACACGUGAAACCUUGUGGGAAGCAGGGGGGACCACCCUCCAAGCCAAAAUACUGAUAUCGACCGAUAGCGCAUAGUACCGUGAGGGAAAGGUGAAAAGAACCCCUGGCGGGGAGUGAAAGAGAACCUGAAACCGUAUGUCUACAAACAGUCGAAGUCUGUAUAUAUAUCAGGACGACGGCGUGCCUAUUGAAGAAUGAACCGACGAGUUACUGUUGCUAGCGAGGUUAAGUGGAAAACAUGGAGCCGCAGCGAAAGCGAGUCUGAACAGGGCGUUCAGUUAGUAAUAGUAGACCCGAAACCGUAGUGAUCUAUCCAUGGCCAGGUUGAAGCACAGGUAAAAUUGUGUGGAGGACCGAACUCGUGAGCGUUGAAAAGCUUUGGGAUGAGUUGUGGAUAGGGGUGAAAUGCCAAUCGAACACGGAGAUAGCUGGUUCUCCCCGAAAUAGCUUUAGGGCUAGCCUCGAGGUUGAGAGUAUAGGCGGUAGAGCACUGAUCGGGCUAGGGGCCAUACCGGUUACCGAACCUAGUCAAACUACGAAUGGCUAUACUUAUACUCGGGAGUCAGACAGUGAAUGAUAAGGUCCAUUGUCAAGAGGGAAACAGCCCAGAACACCGACUAAGGUCCCAAAUGUUACACUAAGUGGCGAAGGAUGUGGAGUUUCCAAAACAACCAGGAUGUUGGCUUAGAAGCAGCCACCAUUUAAAGAGUGCGUAAUAGCUCACUGGUCGAGAGACUCUGCGCCGAAGAUGUCCGGGGCUAAAGUGUAAAACCGAAGUCGUGUCAUAUGCAGCAAUGUAUAUGGGUAGGGGAGCGUUCUCAUCGGGCUGAAGCAGUACCGUAAGGAGUUGUGGACUGAUGAGAAGUGAGAAUGUCGGUAUGAGUAGCGAAAAGAAUGGUGAGAAUCCAUUCCACCGAAAGCCUAAGGGUUCCUGAGCAACGAUCGUCGUCUCAGGGUAAGUCGGGACCUAAGCCGAGGCGGAAAAGCGUAGGCGAUGGACAACAGGUUGAAAUUCCUGUACCGGUGUGAAUCGUUUGAUCGAUGGAGUGACACAGUAAGGUAGGUCAGCACGCGAUUGGAAGUGCGUGUUUAAGCAGGUAGGUUGAGCUAUAGGCAAAUCCGUAGCUCUAAAAGCUGAGAUGUGAUGACGAGUUACUAGCAAUAGUAACGAAGUGAUUGAUCCUACACUGUCGAGAAAAGCUUCUAGGUAGAGACACAUCGCCCGUACCAAAACCGACACAGGUAGGCGGGGAGAGAAUCCUAAGGUGCGCGGGAAAACCCUCGUUAAGGAACUCGGCAAAAUGCCUCCGUAACUUCGGGAAAAGGAGGACUCAUGUAGUGUGAAGAGCAGCAACGCAUGGAGCAUGAAUGAGUGGCACAAGAGAGGCGCAAGCGACUGUUUACCACAAACACAGGUGCCUGCUAAAGCGAAAGCUGACGUAUAGGUGCUGACACCUGCCCGGUGCUGGAAGGUUAAGAGGAGGGGUUAGACUUCGGUCGAAGCUCUGAAUUGAAGCCCCAGUAAACGGCGGCCGUAACUAUAACGGUCCUAAGGUAGCGAAAUUCCUUGUCGGGUAAGUUCCGACCCGCACGAAAGGUGUAACGACUUGCGCACUGUCUCAACGAGGGACCCGGUGAAAUUGAAGUACCUGUGAAGAUGCAGGUUACCCGCGACUGGACAGAAAGACCCCAUGGAGCUUUACUGCAACCUAAGAUUGAACUUAGUUAAUGAAUGUACAGGAUAGGUGGGAGACGUAGAAUCUAGGACGCCAGUUUUAGAGGAGUCACUGUUGGGAUACCACCCUUUCAUUAAUUGAUUUCUAACGGGCCGAGUAACGACCGGCCGGACAGUCUUAGGCGGGCAGUUUGACUGGGGCGGUCGCCUCCUAAAGAGUAACGGAGGCGCCCAAAGGUUCCCUCAGAGCGGACGGAAAUCGCUCGAAGAGUGUAAAGGCAGAAGGGAGCUUGACUGCGAGACGGACAGGUCGAGCAGGGACGAAAGUCGGGCUUAGUGAUCCGGUGGUGCCGAGUGGAAGGGCCAUCGCUCAACGGAUAAAAGCUACCCUGGGGAUAACAGGCUAAUCUCUCCCAAGAGUCCAUAUCGACGGGGAGGUUUGGCACCUCGAUGUCGGCUCAUCACAUCCUGGGGCUGAAGUAGGUCCCAAGGGUUCGGCUGUUCGCCGAUUAAAGUGGUACGUGAGCUGGGUUCAGAACGUCGUGAGACAGUUCGGUCCCUAUCCAUCGCGGGCGCAAGAAACUUGAAGGGGGCUGCUCCUAGUACGAGAGGACCGGAGUGGACGAACCGCUGGUGUACCAAUUAUCCUGCCAAGGGUACAGUUGGGUAGCUACGUUCGGGACGGAUAAACGCUGAAAGCAUCUAAGCGUGAAACCAGCCUUGAGAUGAGGGUUUCUCAUAGCAUAAGCUAGUAAGAUCCCAUGUAGACGACAUGGUUGAUAGGCCAGGUGUGGAAGAGCCGUGAGGUUUGGAGCUGACUGGUACUAAUAGAUCGAGGGCUUUACUUAAAUAAA